GGAAGAACUCUGCAGGCUACCAGCUCUCCCUGCGUCAGGAGGCAGGUGGCUCACGAGAUCAGCAUCUUUCAACAGUCCCAGAAUUUCUGGAGGCUGUUAAACAGAAGCUACUAAAGUUAGACAUUUUUAACUCAGCAGGUCCAGGUAACUUCCAUCCAAGUGUUUCAAAAGAG